AUGCUCACUUUGCCAGCACAGAUACUAAAACUGUAAUGAUACAGAAAAGAUUAGCAUGGCUCCUGCACAAGCAUGACAUGCAAAUUUGUGAAGCGUUCCAUAUUUUU
ensembl:snRNA U6 U6 spliceosomal RNA